rnacentral:tRNA from 1 species
UCCCUGGUGGCUCAGACAGUAAGUGUCUGCCUGCAAUGCGGGAGACCCGGGUUCAACUCCUGGGUAGGGAA